UGGGGAAUAUUGCACAAUGGGGGAAACCCUGAUGCAGCGACGCCGCGUGAGUGAAGAAGUAUUUCGGUAUGUAAAGCUCUAUCAGCAGGGAAGAUAAUGACGGUACCUGACUAAGAAGCCCCGGCUAACUACGUGCC
rnacentral:rRNA from 1 species